rnacentral:rRNA from 1 species
AUUGAACGCUGGCGGCAUGCCUUACACAUGCAAGUCGAACGGCAGCACGGGGCAACCUGGUGGCGAGUGGCGAACGGGUGAGUAAUGCAUCGGAACGUACCUUUCAGUGGGGGAUAACGUAGCGAAAGUUAAGCUAAUACCGCAUAUUCUGUGAGAAGGAAAGCAGGGGAUCGCAGGACCUUGCGCUGUUUGAGCGGCCGAUGUCAGAUUAGCUAGUUGGUGAGGUAAAGGCUCACCAAGGCGACGAUCUGUAGCGGGUCUGAGAGGAUGAUCCGCCACACUGGAACUGAGACACGGUCCAGACUCCUACGGGAGGCAGCAGUGGGGAAUUUUGGACAAUGGGGGCAACCCUGAUCCAGCCAUGCCGCGUGAGUGAAGAAGGCCUUCGGGUUGUAAAGCUCUUUCGGCCGGGAAGAAAUCGCACGGGCUAAUACCCUGUGUGGAUGACGGCACCGGAAUAAGAAGCACCGGCUAACUACGUGCCAGCCGCCGCCGUAA